GACGAACGCUGGCGGCGUGCUUAACACAUGCAAGUCGAACGGAAAGGCCCUGCUUUUGUGGGGUGCUCGAGUGGCGAACGGGUGAGUAACACGUGAGUAACCUGCCCUUGACUUUGGGAUAACUUCAGGAAACUGGGGCUAAUACCGGAUAGGAGCUCCUGCUGCAUGGUGGGGGUUGGAAAGUUUCGGCGGUUGGGGAUGGACUCGCGGCUUAUCAGCUUGUUGGUGGGGUAGUGGCUUACCAAGGCUUUGACGGGUAGCCGGCCUGAGAGGGUGACCGGCCACAUUGGGACUGAGAUACGGCCCAGACUCCUACGGGAGGCAGCAGUGGGGAAUAUUGCACAAUGGGCGGAAGCCUGAGGCAGCAACGCCGCGUGCGGGAUGACGGCCUUCGGGUUGGAAACCGCUUUCGCCUGUGACGAAGCGUGAGUGACGGGAAUGGGGAAAGAAGCACCGGCGAACUACGU
rnacentral:rRNA from 1 species